GGGAGGUCUUGGAAGUAGGACACGUCCUGCGUCCGGACCUGAGGGACGCUCGGGCUGAAGCGGCGGGAGGAGAAGAGCCUCGCCCGAGCCCAGGAAUAGGUGAUUUCCUCCUUAGGCAGUUCAAAGUUCACAGUGCAAGAGAACUUAGCUUCAUGACCCCGAGCCACCGUCAAGUCCUGAACUGAAAACAGGUCCGCGUCACCGCCCGAGCCCUCCCCCGUUUCGCCGGGUCGCUUCCCCGCUCAGCUCCCGUUCCUCCGGUCCGGGCGGUUCCUUCCCUUCCAGGCCCCGCCCCUCACCUGGGCAGUCCAGCGGGAGGUCGCAGACCGUGGAGUAGCACCCGCGACAGCGGAAACGCCGGGCGACCUCCUGGAGUCCUGCGGGACGGAAACGCUGCACCUGGGCUCCAUCCGCGUUCCCCAGCCCGGGUCCCUCUGGCCAGGGUUCUUAUUGGUCUCCUGUUCUAAAUGCCGGGUUUCGCUCCCGACCACCUCCCUUCCCCCUCAAUUCGGAGUUUGGGAUGAAGAGCUUACCGCAUGGAGGGAUGCAGGCCUGGACUGUGGAGAGAGAGGAAGCGUUACUAUCCUGGAAGGCCUGGAGGUGCUUACCUGAAGCUCCCCUAGAGGACAGGUCAUGAUCUCAGGGUUGUGAGAUCAAACCCUGCGUUGGGCUCUGCACUCAACACAGAUUCUGCUUGGGAUUCUCUCUCUCCCUUGGCCCCUUCCUGUGCUCUCUGUCUGAACUGUGUCCCUCCCAAACUCAUAAUGUUGAAGGCUAACCCCCAGGACCUGGGAAUGUGACUGCACUUGGAUAUACAGCCUUAAAGAGGUAAUUAAGUUAUAAUUAGGCCAUUAGGGUGGGCCCUGAUCCAGUGUGACUGAUUGCCCUAUAAGAGGAGAUCUGGACACUGACACACCGAGGGGAGAACAUGUGAAGACACAGGAGAGAGAGAAGAUGGACAUCUACAAGCCAGAGAGAAAGGCCUGAGAAGGAACCAACCCUGCUCACAUUGACACCUUGAUCUUGGACUUCUAGCCUCCAGAAUUGUGAACAAAUACAUUUCUAUCUUUUAAGCAACCCAGUGUAUGGCACUUUGUUAAAGGGGCCCUAGGAAACUGAUACCAGGGAUUGCUGGUUGCUUCCAAAUAUUUCUGUAGUAA